AUGCUGGAGGUAUCAGAAGUGCGAAUGCUGACAUAAGUAACGAUAAUGCGGGUGAAAAACCCGCACGCCGGAAGACCAAGGGUUCCUGUCCAACGUUAAUCGGGGCAGGGUGAGUCGACCCCUAAGGCGAGGCUGAAAAGCGUAGUCGAUGGGAAACGGGUUAAUAUUCCCGUACUGGUGGUAACUGCGAUGGGGGAACGGAGAAGGCUAGGUUGUCCGGGCGACGGUCGUCCCGGUUCAAGCAUGUAGGCAGAGUGAUUAGGCAAAUCCGGUCACUUAAUGCUGAGGUGUGAUGACGAGCCACUAAGGUGGUGAAGCAAUUGAUGCCCUGCUUCCAGGAAAAGCCUCUAAGCUUCAGGUUACCAACAAUCGUACCCCAAACCGACACAGGUGGUCAGGUAGAGAAUACUCAGGCGCUUGAGAGAACUCGGGUGAAGGAACUAGGCAAAAUGGUGCCGUAACUUCGGGAGAAGGCACGCUGGCGGUAAGUGAAGUCCCUUGCGGACGGAGCCGAAGCCAGUCGAAGAUACCAGCUGGCUGCAACUGUUUAUUAAAAACACAGCACUGUGCAAACACGAAAGUGGACGUAUACGGUGUGACGCCUGCCCGGUGCUGGAAGGUUAAUUGAUGGGGUUAUCCUUAGGGAGAAGCUCUUGAUCGAAGCCCCAGUAAACGGCGGCCGUAACUAUAACGGUCCUAAGGUAGCGAAAUUCCUUGUCGGGUAAGUUCCGACCUGCACGAAUGGCGUAAUGAUGGCCAGGCUGUCUCCACCCGAGACUCAGUGAAAUUGAACUCGCUGUGAAGAUGCAGUGUACCCGCGGCAAGACGGAAAGACCCCGUGAACCUUUACUAUAGCUUGACACUGAACAUUGAGCCUUGAUGUGUAGGAUAGGUGGGAGACUAUGAAAUGUGGACGCCAGUCUGCAUGGAGUCAACCUUGAAAUACCACCCUUUAACGUUUGAUGUUCUAACCUAGGCCCGUAAUCCGGGUCGGGGACCGUGUCUGGUGGGUAGUUUGACUGGGGCGGUCUCCUCCUAAAGAGUAACGGAGGAGCACGAAGGUUGGCUAAGCAUGGUCGGACAUCAUGCGGUUAGUGCAAAGGCAUAAGCCAGCUUGACUGUGAGAGUGACGGCUCGAGCAGGUACGAAAGUAGGUCUUAGUGAUCCGGUGGUUCUGAAUGGAAGGGCCAUCGCUCAACGGAUAAAAGGUACUCCGGGGAUAACAGGCUGAUACCGCCCAAGAGUUCAUAUCGACGGCGGUGUUUGGCACCUCGAUGUCGGCUCAUCACAUCCUGGGGCUGAAGUAGGUCCCAAGGGUAUGGCUGUUCGCCAUUUAAAGUGGUACGCGAGCUGGGUUUAGAACGUCGUGAGACAGUUCGGUCCCUAUCUGCCGUGGGCGUUGGAAGAUUGAGAGGGGUUGCUCCUAGUACGAGAGGACCGGAGUGAACGCACCACUGGUGUUCGGGUUGUCAUGCCAAUGGCAUUGCCCGGUAGCUAAGUGCGGAAGAGAUAACCGCUGAAAGCAUCUAAGCGGGAAACUUGCCUCGAGAUGAGUCUUCCCUGUCACCUUGAGUGACCUAAAGGAACGUUUAAGACUAAGACGUUGAUAGGCUGGGUGUGUAAGCGUAGCGAUACGUUGAGCUAACCAGUACUAAUGAACCGUGAGGCUUAACCUG
rnacentral:rRNA from 1 species